UACGUAGGGUGCAAGCGUUAUCCGGAAUUAUUGGGCGUAAAGAGCUCGUAGGCGGUUUGUCGCGUCUGCUGUGAAAACCCGAGGCUCAACCUCGGGCCUGCAGUGGGUACGGGGCAGACUAGAGUGCGGUAGGGGAGAUUGGAAUUCCUGGUGUAGCGGUGGAAUGCGCAGAUAUCAGGAGGAACACCAAUGGCGAAGGCAGAUCUCUGGGCCGUAACUGACGCUGAGGAGCGAAAGCAUGGGGAGCGAACAGG
rnacentral:rRNA from 1 species